GGGAGGCCCCCCAGUGGCGAAGGCGNUCGGCCAGAACGCGCUCGACGGUGAGGGAUGAAAGCUGGGGAGCGAACCGGAUUAGAUACCCGGGUAGUCCCAGCUGUAAACGAUGCGGGCUAGGUGAUGGAAUGGCUANCGGGCCAUUCCAGUGCCGCAGGGAAGCCGUUAAGCCCGCCGCCUGGGGAGUACGGCCGCAAGGCUGAAACUUAAAGGAAUUGGCGGGGGAGCACCACAAGGGGUGAAGCCUGCGGUUCAAUUGGAGUCAACGCCGGGAACCUUACCGGGGGAGACAGCAGGGUGAAGGUCAGGCUGAAGACCUUACCAGACGAGCUGAGAGGAGGUGCAUGGCCGUCGCCAGCUCGUGCCGUGAGGUGUCCUGUUAAGUCAGGCAACGAGCGAGACCCCUGCCCCUAGUUGCCUACUGCUACCUUCGGGUAGCAUGGCUAACUAGGAAGACUGCCGCCGCUAAGGCGGAGGAAGGAGGGGGCCACGGCAGGUCAGUAUGCCCCGAAACCCCCGGGCCACACGCGGGCUGCAAUGGUAGGGACAAUGGGUUCCGACCCCGAAAGGGGGAGGCAAUCCCUAAACCCUACCCCAGUUAUGACUGAGGGCUGCAACCCGCCCUCACGAAUCUGGAAUCCCUAGUAACCGCGUGUCAACAUCGCGCGGUGAAUACGUCCCUGCUCC
rnacentral:rRNA from 1 species